rnacentral:rRNA from 1 species
UAGCGGCGAACGGGUGCUUAACACGUGGGCAAUCUGUCUUAAAGUGGGGGAUAGCUCGGCGAAAGCCGAAUUAAUACCGCAUGUGAUUAGAGUGGACAUCCAUUCAAAAUCAAAGCCGGGGCAACCUGGCGCUUUUUGAGGAGCCCGCGGCCUAUCAGCUUGUUGGUGAGGUAACGGCUCACCAAGGCUUUGACGGGUAGCUGGUCUGAGAGGACGACCAGCCACACUGGGACUGAGACACGGCCCAGACACCUACGGGUGGCAGCAGUCGAGAAUUUUUCUCAAUGGGGGAAACCCUGAAGGAGCGACGCCGCGUGGAGGAUGAAGGUCUUCGGAUUGUAAACUCCUGUCAUUGGGGAACAAGGUGCAUACGUUAACUGCGUGUGCAUUGAUAGUACCCGAAGAGGAAGAGACGGCUAACUCUGUGCCAGCAGCCGCGGUAAUACAGAGGUCUCAAGCGUUGUUCGGAUUCAUUGGGCGUAAAGGGUGCGUAGGCGGCGCGGUAAGUCGGGUGUGAAAUCUCGGAGCUUAACUCCGAAACUGCAUUCGAUACUGCCGUGCUUGAGGACUGGAGAGGAGACUGGAAUUUACGGUGUAGCGGUGAAAUGCGUAGAUAUCGUAAGGAAGACCAGUGGCGAAGGCGGGUCUCUGGACAGUUCC